GAGUGCUUCGUUUCAAACGCCUUCGCCCUUGGGAGGUUCACCCAGCCAACACUCGAUUAUCCGUGACCUUGGAGGACAAAAGCAGCAAGCAGCACAGUCGCUGCCAACAGGUGUGGAGGCAUGAGUGGGCUCUCUCAAGACCACAGAGUAAGUCUCUGGUGGAGCCGAAAGCCUCGCUCAGACACCUCCCAGCCUGGCCUCGACACCUCUCUUUAAACCGUCCUCAGCAAUGUACCUGUCUUGUUGGUUUCCCGCUUUCCUCGUCUCCUGGAGCCAGUCUCUGCGCUGUCAUUCAUCAGUAGCAAGCAGUUUUCAGGACAGUCCCUGACCAGUGAACCGAGAGCCACUUUUCAUAUUGGGCCCAUUUUCACUGACCAUGGAAUCCACUCAGCUGCUCGCCUGUUUCCUGAGGUCCCUUCAGCCGCUCGCCUGGAGGAGAUGGACAGGACGCUACUUCCACCGGCUUCCGAGGAGCUUCCUACCAAGGCUGCUGCCAUGUGGUGAAGCCCGUCCCUAACGACCCUUACUCCACUUCGUACCCGAGAGACAGUAUUAUUAUUUAGUAUGGCUGUGGACGCGGUGGCCUUCAUUUGUUAAUGGUUUAGUCCUUCUCUGUACUGUAUUAUUAAAGAACGUAACCUCUUC